UACGUAGGUGGCAAGCGUUGCCCGGAAUUAUUGGGCGUAAAGCGCGCGCAGGCGGUUCUUUAAGUCUGAUGUGAAAGCCCACGGCUCAACCGUGGAGGGUCAUUGGAAACUGGAGAACUUGAGUACAGAAGAGUAAAGCGGAAUUCCACGUGUAGCGGUGAAAUGCGUAGAGAUGUGGAGGAACACCAGUGGCGAAGGCGGCUUUCUGGUCUGUAACUGACGCUGAGGCGCGAAAGCGUGGGGAGCAAACAGG
rnacentral:rRNA from 1 species